GUUCCGGGUUUAAAAGAUGGAGUAAUCACAGACUCAGUCACUACUUCUAGGGGAAUUCUGCACCAAAAAACCCUGAAAAAGCAAGGAACUUGAGUACAUGGGUUACGAAAAGCAUAUGAGUAGUCCCAUGGACUUAAUGGAACUACAGUAGAACACCAGAGUUACGAACUAACCAGUGAACCACACUCUUCCUAUGGAACUGGAAGUACACAACCAGGCAGCUGCAGAGACCAAAUGAAAAAAGCAAAUACCGCACAAUACUGUGUUGAACAUAAACUACUAAAAAAAGAAAAGGCAAGUUUUAAAAAAGAUUUGACAAGGGCUGGUGCAGGAGGGAUAACAAGACACAGCAGGAGCUGAGGGUGAAAAACUCCACCUCCGAACAAGGUGCAGGAUGGGGCCCUCUUUGAGUCACAGCAGAAGAAUGGGACUGACUCAGUUUUUUCAUCCUACCGUGCAGAACACAUUCAUAGCAUAAACAAUACAGCUAUACUUUUACAAGGAACAGAGAUGGAUGUUGUUUUCAAAGCAGAGUGAGCCUCUUAAAAAACAAAAUCAAACCAAAAACCUUGUGAUGUUAUGGAAACCAACAGUUUUGGAAUAAUACUUCUAUUCUCUAGAACAAUGAACUAUGGAGCUUUUGAGAUGCUGGGAAAUCAACAUGUUAUGUAUUUACUCUUUCUUACAAAUGAACUCAAUGGCAAAAAUGUUUUGGUAACG